rnacentral:ncRNA from 23 species
GCCUUAUCAAGAGCGGUGGAGGGAACGGCCCGAUGAAACCCGGCAACCUGCGCAUUGCGCAAGGUGCCAAAUCCGGCGAGAGAAUCGAAAGAUGAGGA